ACAAAAGGCCCAACUAAUCCAAACCCUAGUUUCCUACCUAGGAUAUGAAAUAACAGGAGGACAGAGAGAACCUGGAGCUGCUAGAAAAGAAGCCAUCUGUCAGACUCCAUGAUCGUCAACCGACAAGGAGCUCUGGACAUUUCUGGGUAUGACUGGAUGGUGCAGACUUUGGAUCCAGGAUUAUGGUGUUCUGGACCACCAAGAGGUAGAAUACAGCCUCCAGCAACAAGCCCCAUAUGCGAAGAUAAGAACAAGAAGGACACGUCCAGCAGAGGAAAGAAGAUAUAAAAGGACAGAACCUGCGGGAGAGGGUGCGCGCCGUUGGCAGAGCGGAGACUCCCCGGCCACCCAGCACUGUUUUGCUUACUAUUGCUUGCUUAAUAAAUUGAUUCAUUUCAAAUA